CGGGCUGUUCAGCGAGCCCAAGAUCCCGGUGGGUAGGAUCCCCUCUCAGGGCGGUCACCUCUGUUCUUGUUUGAGACCCUGGGGCUUCAGUGGCUUCCUCAGCCCGGCCCCUUGCCGAGCGGCCACAAACGGGCCGGCUUCCGCUAGCAGGCAGCUUUACCCAGCACGCCUCAAAUAGUGGCAGCCGGGCCUGGCUGGGGGUCCUUCCUACUCGCAAUUAGCCAAAUGUCAGCCCAAGUCCCCCCUCCCACCCACCAGGGCGCUCUCUCCCUUCCGGACCGGUUGGGCUGCUUCCGACCCGGAAAGGUCCCUGAAAGUCACCUGGCCCAAGACUUUAUUUUCCAGUGGAGCCGACAGCGAGCGGCUGGCCCGGCCCCCCAGGUAGGCUCGAGGACCGCAGCGGAAAUUGGGGACUGGGACGGCGCUCCUGGUGGGGCCUCAUUGGGCGGUCACCCGAGCCCUGCGUCCCUUCUCUGAGCCCGAGGUCCGGAAGGAUGCGUGUUGUCUCCCUAUUCUAUGUUCACGUUGCCCAUUCGAAAAUAAAAGUAUGAGGACUUUGGUUCGUGCAGACUCGAUUCCCCCAAGAGCAGGUUUCAUGCGACUGGUGUCGCCCUAAGGUAGUUCUGAUUAACUGCCAGGCACGGACAGCUUCCCUACAAGCCCUCCCAAUGGCCUUGUGAAGCGAAGCCUGCUCAGGGUCGUUUGGCUGGGGGCGGGGGGUUUAGAAACUGUGGUCCUAGUGGGCAGGCCCCCCACCACCACCCGCGGGAGGCCGGGGUGCCGAGAAACCUCCCUCCACAGUCCGUUCCCGUGAAGGUAGAAACCUUCCCCUCCACUUGCGUCUGCCAUACAAAUAUCAUUUCUACAAAUGCUGGCUU
rnacentral:lncRNA from 1 species